CAUUACCGAAUUGUUAACACGAGUUGUUGCUGGUCCUCAAAUGGGGGCAUGUGCACGCUCUGUUUGCACAUCCACUCACACCUGUGCACCCUCCAUAGUUCUGCAGCCUGGGGGCUCUGUCCCCCCUGCUGUGGCUCUAUGUAUUUACACACACACACUGUGAUAAAGUCUUAUGGAAUGUAUGCCGCGUUUAACGCAAUACAAUACAACUUUCAGCAACGGAUCUCUUGGCUCUCGCAUCGAUGAAGAACGCAGCGAAAUGCGAUAAGUAAUGUGAAUUGCAGAAUUCAGUGAAUCAUCGAAUCUUUGAACGCACCUUGCGCCCUUUGGCUAUUCCGAAGGGCAUGCCUGUUUGAGUAUCAUGAACACCUCAACUCUCAUGGCUUGCCAUGACGAGCUUGGACUUUGGGGGUCUUGCCGGCCUGCGGUCGGCUCCUCUCAAACGAAUCAGCUUACCAGUGUUUGGUGGCAUCACAGGUGUGAUAACUAUCUACGCUUGUGGUUUUCCACCAGGCAACCUUCAGUGAUGGAGGUUUGCUGGGGCUCAUAAACGUCUCUCCUCAGUGAGGACAGCUCUUUGAACGUUUG
rnacentral:rRNA from 1 species